AACGAACGCUGGCGGCAUGCCUAACACAUGCAAGUCGAACGAGACCUUCGGGUCUAGUGGCGCACGGGUGCGUAACGCGUGGGAACCUGCCCUUAGGUUCGGAAUAACUCCCCGAAAGGGGUGCUAAUACCGGAUAAUGUCUUCGGACCAAAGAUUUAUCGCCUUUGGAUGGGCCCGCGUUGGAUUAGCUAGUUGGUAGGGUAAAAGCCUACCAAGGCGACGAUCCAUAGCUGGUCUGAGAGGAUGAUCAGCCACACUGGGGCUGAGACACGGCCCAGACUCCUACGGGAGGCAGCAGUGGGGAAUAUUGGACAAUGGGCGAAAGCCUGAUCCAGCGAUGCCGCGUGAGUGAUGAAGGCCUUAGGGUUGUAAAGCUCUUUUAACCGGGAUGAUAAUGACAGUACCGAGAGAAUAAGCUCCGGCUAACUCCGUG
rnacentral:rRNA from 1 species